ACCGAAUGAUAAAGUGUGGCGCAUGCCAUGCUUUUGAAAGAUGGUUUCGGCUAUCGCUUACAGAUGGGCCCGCGGUGCAUUAGCUAGUUGGUAGGGUAAUGGCCUACCAAGGCAACGAUGCAUAGCCGACCUGAGAGGGUGAUCGGCCACACUGGGACUGAGACACGGCCCAGACUCCUACGGGAGGCAGCAGUAGGGAAUCUUCCGCAAUGGACGAAAGUCUGACGGAGCAACGCCGCGUGUAUGAAGAAGGUUUUCGGAUCGUAAAGUACUGUUGUUAGAGAAGAACAAGGAUAAGAGUAACUGCUUGUCCCUUGACGGUAUCUAACCAGAAAGCCACGGCUAACUACGUGCCAGCAGCCGCGGUAAUACGUAGGUGGCAAGCGUUGUCCGGAUUUAUUGGGCGUAAAGCGCGCGCAGGCGGUCUUUUAAGUCUGAUGUGAAAGCCCCCGGCUUAACCGGGGA
rnacentral:rRNA from 1 species